rnacentral:rRNA from 1 species
AUGGAUCGAGGUUGGAUGAGUCAACCAAGAGCUAGUGCUGCUUACAAAGAUGAUGUCGAGCAAUUUCUGUCUUUUGCAUUCCGUGAUGUUCCGGCUGGUGAUAGAAUUCUUUGUCCUUGUGUAAAUUGCCGAAAUAAAGCUAUGCAGAGUUAUGAUGGAGUGAAGACUCACUGGAGAUGUGAUGGUAUUCUUCAAGGUUACACUAAGUGGGUUUGCCAUGGAGAGGAUUACAUUGAACCAUCAUUUGCAUUUGCUCAUGUAUCAGUGUCUUUUUUUCGUACUACUUCAGGGCACAACCCAAGUGUACUUGGGUUUUAA